CUUAUCAGGACCAAGGGCUUCCCCUUCCACUGGUGCUCUUACUAGGAUAUUCAUUGCUACCUAUGACGUCAGAGCCCAGGAUCAGUCCGUGUAUAGUCUUUGGGUCGUGGCUUAGUCCCUGGAUCUCUCUUUUCUUAAUCCCUGUUCUCAAAGUUGAUGGUUCCGUUUUGAGAAACCCCAAUGGUCGCCUUCCAUCCUGGUACUUGAAGAUGGCUUUGACCCAACGGUUGCUAUGGCAACGGUGCUGGCAAAGGCAUUUGGCCGUCCAUUCACCUAGCCGAAGGAGAGAAGGUGGCCUGCGAGUACCCUUUUCCUUGAUUACUGCCCUCUCAGGGAGGUCAGGACCCCUGAGAUUUUCCAGGGCUUCCCAAAGUGCACAGGCUUCAGGCUUCACUAACACAGGUAACAGAUUGGCUUCUGCUCCUUCCUGAACAUAGAAUCGAGGGAAAGACCAAAUCCACUUCAAUGUGACCCUUCAAUCAUAGGGACCUUUCCAGGGUGAAAGCUUAAAUACCACUUGCGUCUUCCCAUGGGCAGAGAACACAGCAUUCAGAACAGCACCUUCUACUCUUGCAAGGGACAAACGAGUGAGGUACUGGUCAGCCAUUGCUAGUUAAUAAGCAGAGCCAUGGGGUAUCCAAACAAACAGAGCUGCUACAGCUCGUCACCAGUCCUGGGAAAUGGGGACGGAGCAUGUGUACAUGAGAAGACCAGGCGAAGAACCCAUGCCAACUGGAAGAAAAUGAGCCUAAUCAUGCCAGGCAGGCUUCAUCUUCAGGAGGCUCUACAAUGUCCUCUCAGUCUCUCACAGAAAGGCUUGCAGUCUGCACCACUGACCCUGCUUGUCUUCCGCAGAGGUAAGCUUCGUGCUAACUGUGCUACACCACUCAUCUGUCCCGAAACCCUUGGUUGCUGAUGGAGACAGGAAGGACGUAAAUAAAGACAUCAUCAACUUUCAACUUUGGGAAGCAAUUACAGUGCGAGUCCUACAACUUCUAAGCUCAGUCGUAUAUAGUAAAACUCUUUUCAUAACAGCA